UUCUUUUUAUAUUAUCUUCAUUUAUAUUUUUCCCCACAUGUAGUUAUAGCUCAUUGAAAGCAUAUACAAAUAUGCUACUUUUAAAAGUUGGUAAUAAGUCUUCAGAUUCAAUGCAAUGAUUCUCAAUCAGGACAGGUAUCAGAAUCCUGGAAUGUUGUGUGAUUUGAAAAAGAUUGUGUUCAAUAUUAUAAUAGUUUAUAUUGGAUAAUAAUGUUAACAGUAGGCAGGAGAUAUUUAUGUUUAUCAGAAGAGAAUAUGGAUUAUUAAAAAAAAAAAGGUUAAAAACACUGCUUUCAGAGCUCAAGAGAUGAUACGCUAUCUAGGUUUAGUUCAAAAUCCGUGUGUAAGCUCUUAAAAAAUGGGUUUACCUGUUUGAGUUUAGUCACGAUAUAGGGUAAUAUGCUGUUUUCUUAGUUGUCAAGAUUUGAAUUUUAUAGGGAUUACAGAGAAAUUGAUAUUAAAAAUCAGUCAGUUUGUGUUUACUGGAGGUGAUAAAUAUGUAUAGCAGUGGUGUAACUGAGGGUUCAGACAGUAGAGCACCACACUAAUAAAAGAAGAUUCAUCCAUCCAGUUCUAGAUGGAUGUUUAGGAGCGCCCUCUGCAGCCCCGUCCUCACAAAAACAACAAACAACGUGGGUAAAGGGCAGUAAGUAUUGAAACUUCCCUAGUAUUAGUGCCAAAUUCCAGGUCCUGGAGUGCUUUUAUUCUUUACUGUUUGAUACUGGCAGAAAAUGAAUAGAGUAAGAAUUUGGGAUGAGACCUCGAUGGUUACAGCAGUAGAAUUGGUUGGGAAAAUAGCCUUGAGUGAACCAGAAGAAUAACUUAAGGAAGGAAGAAAACAUUUAAUGUACCUUAAAAAAUAAUUUUGAAAUGGAUCUACCAUUGUAUUUUGAAAACUGUGUAAUUGUGGUAGUUCUUUACUAUGUUUGUUUGUUUAUUUAUUUGGGUUUUCAGUACUUAAAAAAAAUUGAAGUAUAGUUGAUGUAUAAUAUUGUACUAUUUUCAGGUACAUUUCAGUAUUUUUACAGAUUAUAUUCCAAUAAAAGUUAUUAAAAGGUAAUGGCAAUAAUUCCCUGUGCUAUGCAGUAUAUCCUUGUUGCUUAUUUAUUUUAUACAUAGUAGUUUGUAUCUCUUAAUCCUAUACCCCUAUCUUGCCCCUCCCCGCUUUCCUCUCUUCACUGGUAACCAUUAGUUUGUUUUCUAUAUCUGUGAGUCUGUUUCUGUUUUGCUGUACUCAUUUUUUUUUAUAUUUUAGAUUCUACAUAUAAGUGAUAUCACACAGUAUUUAUCUUCCUCUGCCUAAUUUCACUAAGCAUAAUAUUCUCUAGGUCCAUCCAUGAUGCUGCAAAUGGCAGAAUUUCAUUCUUUUUUAUGGUCGAGUACUAUUUUAUUGUGUGUAUAUAUAUAUAUAUAUAUAUAAAAUCUUUAUUCAUUCAUCUGUUGAUGGACACUUGGGUUGCUUCCAUGUCUUGGCAAUUGUAAAUCGUGCUGCUAUGAACAAUCAGGUGCAUGUAUCUUUUCAAAUUAGUGCUUUCAUUUUUUCUGGAUAUAUUAUAUACCCACGAGUGGAAUUGCUGGAUCAUAUGGUAGUUCUAUUUUUAGUUUUUUGAGGAACCUCCGUGCUGUUUUCCAUAGUGGCUGCACCAGUUUACAUUUCCACCAACAGUGUAUUAGGGUUCCCUUUUCUCCAUAUCCUCGCCAACAUUUAGUUUUUGUUGUCUUUUUGCUGAGAGCCAUUCUGACAGGUGUGAGGUGAUAUUUCACCGUUGUUUUGAUUUGCAUUUCUGUAGUAACUAGUGAUGUUGAGCAUCUUUUCAUGUGCCUGUUAGCCAUCUGUAUGCCUUCUUUGGAAAAAUGUAUUUUCAGGUUUUCUGCCCAUUUUUUGAUUGUGUUGUUUGCUUUUUUGAUAAUGAGUUAUAUGAGCUGUUUGGAUGUUCUGGAUAUUAACCCCUUGUUGGUCGCAUCAUUUGCAAAUAUUUUCUCCGAUUCCAUAGGUUGUCUUUUUGAUUUGUUGAUGGCUUCCUUUGCUGUGCAAAAGCUUUUAAAUUUAAUUAGGUCCAUUUGUUAAUUUUUGCUUUUAUUUAUUUUGCCUUAGGGGACAGAUCCAAAAAAUACUGCUAUGAUUUAUGUCAAAGAGUGUCUUGCCUAUGUUCUCUUCUAGGAGUUUUAUGGUUUCAGAUCAUCUAUUUAGGUCUUUAAUCCAUUUUGAGUUUAUUUUUGUAUAUGGUGUGAGGGAAUGUUCUAAUCUCAUUGUUUUACCUGUAGCUGUCCAGUUUUCCCAGCACCACUUAUUGAAAAAACUGUCUUUUCUCAAUUGUAUAUUCUUGCUUCCUUUGUCAUAGAUUAAUUGAUUGUAGGUGCGUGGGUUUAUUUCUGGGCUCUCUGUUUAGUUCAGUUGAUCUAUGUGUCUGUGUUUUGCCAGACACAAAACAUGCUGUUGCUGUUUUGAUUACUGUAACUUUGUAGUAUAGUCUGAAGUCUGGGAUGGUGAUACCUCCAGCUUUGUUCUUUUUCCUCAGGAUUGCUUUUGUAAUUUGUGGUCUUUUGUGGUUCUUUAUGAAUUUUAGGAUUAUUUGUUCUAUUUCUGUGAAAAAUGUCAUGAGUAUUUUGAUAGGGAUUGCAUGAUUGCUUGGGGAGGUAUUGGUCAUUUUAACAAUAUUAAUUCUUAGAAUUCCAGAAGAGCAAGGGGUAUCUUUGCAUUUCUUUGUAUCAUCUUCACUUUCCUUCAUCUGAGUUUUCAGAGUGUAGGUCUUUCACCUUCUUGGUUAAGUUUAUUCCUGGGUAUUUUAUUCUUUUUGAUACAAUUUCAAAUGGGAUUUUUUUUUUUUUUACUUUCCCUUUCUGAUAGUUCAUUAUUAUUGUAGAGAAAAGCAACAGAUUUCUGUAUAUUAAUCUUGUAUCCUGCAACUUUGCUGAAUUCGUUUAUUAGUUCUAAUAGUUUUUGUGUGGUGACUUUAGGGUUUUCUUCAUUUUUUAAAAAAACUGAAGUAUAGUUGAUUUACAGCUCUACAGCCAAGUGACUCAGUUAUACACAUACAGACAUUCUUUUUUUGUGUUCUUUUCCACUGUUGUUUAUCACAGGAUGUUGAGUAUAGUUCCCUGUGCUAUACAAUAGGACCUGUUGUUUAUCCAUUCUAAAUGUAAUAGUUUGUGUCUGCCAACCCCAAACUCCCAGUCUUUCCUCUCCUUCCCCUCUUGGCAACCACAAAUCUGUUCUCUGUGUCUAGGAGUGUGUUUCUGUUUUGUAGAUAAGUUCAUUUGUGUCAUGUUUUAGAUUCUAGAGUUUUCUAUGUAAAGUAUCAUGUCAUCUCUAAAUAGUAACAGUUUGAGUUCUUCCCUUCCAAUUUGGAUGCUUAAUUUAAUGGGAAGGCUUUCAACUUUUCACCAUUGAAUAUGAUGUUAGCUGUGCAUUUGUCACAUAUGGUCUUUAUUAUGUUGAGAUAUGUUCUCUCUGUACCCACUUUGAUGAGAAUUUUUAUGAUGAAUGGAUGUUGAAUUUUGUCAGUUGCUUUUUGAGUGUUGAGAUGAUCAUGUGUUUUUUGUCUUUCCUUUUGUUAAUGUGGUGUAUCACAUUGAUUUUACAUAUUUUGAACCAUCCUUGUGUCCCUGGAAUAAGUCCAACUUGAUCAUGUGUUUGAUCCUUUUUAUAUAUUGUUGGAUUUGCCCUGCUAAUAUUUUGAUGAGGAUUUUUGCAUCUAUAUUCAUCAAAGAUACUGGCCUGUAAUUGUCUUUUUUUGUAGUGUUUUUGGUUUUAGUACCAGGGUAAAGAUGGCCUUGUAGAAUGAAUUUGGGAGUGUUUCAUCCUCUUUAAUAAUUUGGAAUAGCUUUAGAAGGGUAGGUGUUAGCUCUUCGUUAUAUGUUUGGUAGAAUUCCCCUGUGAAGCAGUCUGGUUCUGGACUUUGUUGGCUGGGAGGUUUUUUUUUAUUACAAAUUCAAUUUUACUGCUAGUGAUUGGUUUGUUCAAAGUGUCUGUUUCUUCUUGAUUCAUUCUUGGCAAGUUUUGUGUCUAGAAGUUUAUCCAUUUCUUCUAGGUUGCCCAAUUUGUUGGCAUAUAAGUGUUCUUAGUAUUCUUUUACUUUUUUUUUUUUAUACUUCCAUGGUGUUGGUUGUUAUUUUUCCUUUUUUCAUUUCUUAUUUUUUUUAAUUUGGGUUGUCUUUUUUCUUCUUGGUGAGCCUGACUAAAGGCUUAUCAAUUUUUUUUUUCUUUUUUCAAAAAACCAGCUAUUGGUUUCAUUGAUCUUUUCUAUUUUU